rnacentral:rRNA from 1 species
AUUGAACGCUGGCGGAAUGCUUUACACAUGCAAGUCGAACGGCAGCACGAGAGCUUGCUCUUGGUGGCGAGUGGCGAACGGGUGAGUAAUAUAUCGGAACGUAUCCAAUAAUGGGGGAUAACUAAUCGAAAGGUUAGCUAAUACCGCAUACGCCCUACGGGGGAAAGCAGGGGAUCUUCGGACCUUGCGUUAAUGGAGCAUGCGUCCCAUUAGCUAGUUGGUAUGGUAACGGCAUACCAAGGCAAUGAUGGGUAGGGGUCCUGAGAGGGAGAUCCCCCACACUGGUACUGAGACACGGACCAGACUCCUACGGGAGGCAGCAGUGAGGAAUAUUGGGCAAUGGGCGCUAGCCUGACCCAGCCAUGCCGCGUGCAGGAAGACGGUCCUAUGGAUUGUAAACUGCUUUUGUACGGGAAGAAACCCUAUUACGUGUAAUAGAUUGACGGUACCGUACGAAUAAGGAUCGGCUAACUCCGUG